GCUGUGAUGGCCGAGUGCUUAAGGCGUUUGACUAGAAAUCAAAUGGGAUUUUCCACCGCAGGUUCGAAUCCUUCUCGCAGCG
rnacentral:tRNA from 1 species